AACCCAUUGUUACAUUAUUAGACGGAAAGACCCCAAGAGCUUUUUUUGUGUUAGAUUUGUUUGGGGUAAAUGUAGAUUAUUCAUUUAUUUUUAGAUCCUUCAUGGAUAAAGGAUAAAGUUACCUUGGGGAUAACUGAGUAAAGGGCAGGGAGAGGUCCUAUUGAUCUGUUUAUUACUACCUCGAUGUUGGCUUGUUGAACCUUUUCGGUGUAGAGGCUGGAAAAGGAAGUCUGUUCGACUUUUAAAUCUUCAUGAGUUGAGUUAAGACCGGUGUAAGCCAGGUUGGUUCUUAUCUAUAAUUGGUUCUAGUUAGUACGAAAGGAUUAUUAGGAUACAGUGUUUCUGUACACAUAGGAAUAGAAAGAAUACA
rnacentral:rRNA from 1 species